rnacentral:rRNA from 1 species
GACGAACGCUGGCGGCGUGCUUAACACAUGCAAGUCGAACGGAAAGGCCCUGCUUGCCGGGUACUCGAGUGGCGAACGGGUGAGUAACACGUGGGUGAUCUGCCCUGCACUUCGGGAUAAGCCUGGGAAACUGGGUCUAAUACCGGAUAGGAGCCAUUUUUAGUGUGAUGGUUGGAAAGUUUUUUUCGGUGUAGGAUGAGCUCGCGGCCUAUCAGCUUGUUGGUGGGGUAAUGGCCUACCAAGGCGGCGACGGGUAGCCGGCCUGAGAGGGUGGACGGCCACAUUGGGACUGAGAUACGGCCCAGACUCCUACGGGAGGCAGCAGUGGGGAAUAUUGCACAAUGGGCGCAAGCCUGAUGCAGCGACGCCGCGUGGGGGAUGACGGCCUUCGGGUUGUAAACGCCUUUCGCUAGGGACGAAGCUUUUUGUGACGGUACCUAGAGAAGAAGCACCGGCUAACUACGUG